rnacentral:rRNA from 1 species
UACAGAGGGUGCGAGCGUUGUCCGGAAUCACUGGGCGUAAAGGGCGCGUAGGCGGCCUGAUAAGUCGGGGGUGAAAUCCUGUGGCUCAACCACAGGGCUGCCUCCGGGACCGUCGGGCUCGAGCACAGUAGAGGCAGGUGGAAUUCCCGGUGUAGCGGUGGAAUGCGUAGAGAUCGGGAAGAACAUCGGUGGCGAAGGCGGCCUGCUGGGCUGUUGCUGACGCUGAGGCGCGACAGCGUGGGGAGCAAACAGG